GGACAUAAUAAAGGAUGGACCACAGACUGGAAAAUGGCCGCCCAUUCAUUCCUAUACAAACUGCUCAGUGGCGCAGGGUAACAUACAGGAGCGAUUUGCUUAUGUCUAUGGCCAAGACACGUGACCUAGUCCGUGACGUACCGGAUGCAGAGAUCUUCUUCUUCUUCUAGUUUAGUGGCGGAUCAUAGGCUGUGUCCCAAUUCCUAGGACGCAUCCUUCGAAGGCUGCAUUCGAAGGAUGCGUCGACGCAGAUUGCGUCACAGCGACGCGCCAAGUGCUGUCCCAAUUCCAAGGGUCCUUCAAAUGCGGCCUACGAAUGCAGCCUUCUUUUCCCGGAUUUGAAGGAUGCAUCGGCUGUAUCCUUCACGGCCCAACGUAUCCCAAGAUCCUUCACGGCCCAACGUAUCCCUCCCAAGAUUCAUUGCACACUCAAUCAAUGGAGAUGGCGGAGAAUGGCGAUUUAAUUUCUGUAUUUAAAUGUAUUGGAUUGGGACAGAGGCAUUCCACCAACCCCCCUGUCCUAAUUGCAUCCAUCCCUGAGAACACACCAGGGCCAAGUACAGCAAGUACAGCAGUGGUGGAUCAGGAGGAGGAAAGACAGCGAGGGCCAAGGUCCAGAAAGAGGGACAGAGAAGAAAACAUGUUCCAGAGUCGCUCACUAUCUUCCGAAAAGGACUCAAGAUUCACCUGUUCAGAGUCCACCUCGACUGCAUAGCCACCCUCCCCCUUCUGGCCACCAUUGUACACUGUGUUGUAUUGUAUUGUAUUGUAUUAUAGUACUUAACUGUGUAGCAACUGCAGUAGGCUGCUAUCAUGGCUGUAACACGGGGAAUGGGUUAGCCUAGCGAUUGUGGUACUUGGUUCUAUGAACAUCCUUUCUGUACCGACAGCGAUAUAUUGAUGCACUUCUUAUGACAAAUGUACUUAUUGUAAGUCGCUUUGGAUAAAAGCGUCUGCUAAAUGCCCUAAAUGUAAAAUGUAAAUGUUCCAGUUAAUAAAAGAGGACAUGAGGCUACAAAGGGAGGCAGAGGAGAGGAAAGCAGGGAAAGAAUGGAUAGGUUUUUCUCAAUUAAUAAAAUAUAUUAUUAAUUGAGUAUAAAAAUAUAAAAUAUAUAUACUUAAGGUUAAAUUCUUCUAAUUAGGUUAGUAUCUCUUAGCUAAUUUAUCAGCAAUUUCAUUGCCAUAUAUUCCAUGGUGGGCUGGAAUCCAACAGAACUGAAUAACUAAACCAAGGCUUAAAUUUUUAAAAGAAGACGCUUUACCUCUAUCACCAAAUCUUCGCGUAUUGAAUUAUCUGUUAUAAAACUUAUCUACAACCCAUCUAAGAGCGGUUAUUAUUGUGGCCAUCUCGAUUGAGUAUACUGAUAAAGUCACCCACUCUAUAUCCAUAUCCUUUUUCAAAUUCUGGAAUAUAUAUGCCAAUACCACAUUGACACCAUUCUAUUCUAUGAUAGCUGAUAACCAAGGUACACACUGUAAUACUAUAAUCAAGAGGACAUACAGGCAGUUCAAAUAAAAAGAGAUAGAACUUUAUUGAUCUGGAAACUUCAUAAAUAUGUAAGAUUGCUCCAUAUAAUACCAUAGUAACAUAGUAAAUGUAUGUAGGCCUAAAAAAAUCAUUUCAAUGUAAUUGCUUAAGAAACAGAUUCCUUCAAACUAACUAUUUACGAAAAAUGCAAUCAAUAAUUUAUAUGAAAGUAAAUGUUUACAUAUCGACCAGCAACGAAGUUGGAGUAGCCUACCCAAAUAAUGAAUUGUAAUACACCAACAUUGUCAACUGUCAUACAUAGCUAACCAUAACCCUGUCAUACAUAGCUAAACAAGCAAAUGAAAAUGAAAUACCUACCAACGCAACUGAAAUGUUAAUAUUAGACAAUUAACAAUACUAUGAAAAUUACGUAGGUCUCCCAUAAUCAUUCAGGUAAUCAAUACGUCCGUGCCUGUUACAGCUAUUUCAAUGAUAUGUGUGUUAUAUAUCCGUGUUCAACGCCAUUCAUGUUAAGUAAAAGGAGAAAUCUCAGACUUUGGAAGUUAAUUCGGAAUUUAAUUUAAUUCGGAAGUUAAUGGAGCCGUGCACUUCAAAAUAGGUCCAUAGCAAGGAGCCGUUUGUUUCAGUACGACUCCUUUCAGCUGCCCACCCAACAUAAACUGCUAAUAAAACGCUUGAGGAGGCGUUUUGAAAAGAAAAACUUACAUUUUUUUAGAACAGGGUAGAAAUAUAAUUAUGAGCAUUUGAUUGAUAUCCAGACAUUUUUUGCGGAGACACAAUCCUGUUCCCCACUUGUAUUGGAGUGGACGGCGAUAUCUACUUCUGGGCCACAUGAAAUGACGGACCCCCGUCCACAGCCAGCUUAAACAGCUGCAAUACCAGGCUUGGCCUCUGAGCACUGGUGGAUUGCGGAAGUAUGCGUAUCCUGGGGGCCUGACUGUGACCCGUUUCUCAAUUCCUAGCACGCGUACUACGGACUCGAUGACUUGCAAGCACGUACUUGGCAAGUCCGUACUUCAAGCACAGACUUGCGAGCACGCGAUUACGUACCUGCAAUUGGAACAGCAGCGGACUCGAUGACGUCAC
ensembl:lncRNA